rnacentral:misc_RNA from 1 species
GAUGAAGAACGUAGCGAAAUGCGAUACUUGGUGUGAAUUGCAGAAUCCCGUGAACCAUCGAGUCUUUGAACGCAAGUUGCGCCCGAAGCCAUUAGGCCGAGGGCACGCCUGCCUGGGCGUCACACGUCGUUGCCCCCCCAUCUACUCCUUCGGGAUUGCGGGGGGCGGAUGAUGGCCUCCCGUGCGCCUCGCCGCGCGGUUGGCAUAAAUGCCAAGUCCUCGGCGACGCACGCCACGACAAUCGGUGGUUGCGAAACCUCGGUUGCCCGUCGUGUGCGGUCGUCGCGCAUCGAGGGCUCGAAAAAAUUGCCGGGUUCCGGCUCGGCUUUCAACGCGACCCCAGGUCAGGCGGGGUUACCCGCUGAAUUUAAGCAUAUCAAAUAAGCGGAGGA